ensembl:lncRNA
GCUGCUCCGACCUCAGCACCCGCAGCAGCUUUUCUCUCUCACAGAUAUGGACAGGCACCCCAUUGAGACAUUGUCCCAGAACCCCUAGCUAACAGACUUCCAGGCACAGGAUCUCUCACCUGGAGAAACAAGAUGCCAUUAAAACUGCUACUGAUGGUCACAUGUCCUGCUCUCCAUCUUGCCUUCUGCACGGGAAUCAGAGAGCCUGGCUGACGGCUGGCACUGUGAAACCUACUCAUUCUCAGAACCGGAUAAGAAGAGACUCCCACUUCUGCCAGCUCUGCUGCCACUCCCACAUGCCUUCUUCAGAACUUCAAUGUCAUACAGAAGAAAGACUUCUUUGGUAAAAGUCAAUCAUUGAUCAAGUCCAAGAUCCACAGUCUGGACCUCCAAGUACUGCUCAUUACUUUCCUGAUGAAGAGUUUGGUGGAGCUCUAGUCAAUCCUUCUACAUCUGUCAUUCACACAGAACCAGAAGUGUGACCUCCUGGGUGGUUCCCUCCUACCUGCCUUCCCAUACUCCACCCACCAUUGCAUGGCUGCCUUUCCUACCGUUUAGUUCCACAUACCUCAAGCCUGUUCUCUGCUCUAUGGAUGCUGACCUUACAUCUCAGAGAAGCUCAACAGAGUCACACUGCCCAGGCAGAAAGCUCACGCAGGUGGCAGUUAGCUGGUAGGAUUUACCACCUGAUACAAAUCAUUAUUUUUUUCUAAAGAAGAGAUGAUUUCAAAAUCUGGCAGUUGAAUUGAGAGGUUGGGAGGUAGAGAAAGAAUUUUAGCCCCUUGAAACUAGACAUCGCUUUGAAAUUGUCUGCUCCAAUCCUGCAUUUUUUCCAGGGUGGAAACCGAGUCUCAGUCCUGAUGGUUUUUAUGAAGUCACUGGCAAAGCAGAACAGGAGGCACCAAGGGGGCCUGGACUAGCCUCUUGGAGUCUUUGAGCGAAGUUGCAAGGAUUAUGGGGCACCUACAUUGUCUCUUUCAAGGGCCAGCCACCAGGGAACACACCGUUGUCAAGUUUUUAGAUACUAACUAAGGAUGCUCUCUUGACUGCUCACCAUGCUGGCUUUGUAAAGGCAGACUUCAUUUUCCUGGCUUCCUGGACUGAGGGUUCAUGGACAUGUUCAAGGACAAACUAACAGUAAGCAGCCACGGCGGGCCUUGGGACCCAGGCCAGAUGUCCUUUGUAGUAUUCCCUCAUGCUACCUCCCUCACGCAAAGAUGAACGUACAGUGUUCUUUAGUAUGAACAGGCAGUGACGGGCACAGGGAAACAGGACAAAUGCAUGUUGGUUCUAGCCACCAACUCUCUGGGAUCAUUUCUCACAGCUGAGAUGUGCUGAGCAGUGGCUGUUUCUUCAGACUUUGAGAUUCAAUGUCUUAUGUCAGUGCAAACAGUUUAGCAUGUCCUCUAUGUUCUGGAAAAAAAUCUUAUGAGCAGUACCAAUGCUUAAAAAAACCAAACUAAACCUGGUGCCUUAGCUGUAAGGAAAAAGUAGAAGGAAAGUAGUUUGAAACAAAUGCCAUUGUGAUUUUGGUUUUGUUUGUUUGUUUUCAGACGACAUUAAAGGUAGGUUUAUUGGGAAGCUGCUCUCAAGCAGGCUGGGUGAGUUCACUGGCCCCAAGGAAGGAAGCCAGCAAAAUUGCCAGGGUGCAGAGUGAGAGAAGAGAGGGGGAAGGAAGAAGAGGUGGAGGAGAAGGAGAAGGAGGAGCAGGAGGAAGAGGAAGAGGAGGAAGAAGGAGAAGAGGAGGAGGAGAAGAAGAAGAAGGAGAAGAAGAAGAAGAGGAAGAAGAAGAAGAAGAAGAAGAAGAAGAAGAAGAAGAAGAAGAAGAAGAAGAAGAAGAAAGAAGAAGAGAGCCAGGGAGUGAGCAGUUCAGUGCUACUGCUGUGAUGGCCAUCAUGACACAGACGCAAAGCACAUGAAUGGACAGACAUUUUCCAAACUGUAAACCAAACGGGCCUUCUUGUUUUAUAAACUGAUCUACCUCAGGUAUUUGCUAUAGCAACAGAGAACUAUCAUAUCACUCAUCCUUUGGCCUCUUUACUCCAGUUUUCUCUGUCGAGGAAGAAACAGAAAUAUUCUCACUGGUCAUACAG